UCAGACGUGGUGUUGUGGUGACACGGCCUCUUCCAAUAGUUGAGUAACGAUGAUUGUUGGAGGCAGUGCAGGGUUCGAUUCCCUGUGUCUGAA